AGGCGAAAAGAACCCCGGCGAGGGGAGUGAAAAAGAACCUGAAACCGUGUACGUACAAGCAGUGGGAGCCCCACCACCAAAGCAUUCUCUGGUGUUGAAGGCCCUGCAAAGCAGCAUCGCGGUGGCGGAGCGUCGUUUGCGACGCCCAACACACAAAACAAGCGGUGAGUGCUUUGGGGUGGGGUGACUGCGUACCUUUUGUAUAAUGGGUCAGCGACUUAUAUUCUGUAGCAAGGUUAACCGAAUAGGGGAGCCGGAGG
rnacentral:rRNA from 1 species